rnacentral:lncRNA from 1 species
ACAUUUCUGAAAAAGAAAGUGAAUCGAGACAAUUUGCAGAAGUGAAGGUCAUCCAGCUGGCUUUAGAUGUUGCUGAAAGAGAGAGUGACUAGUACUGUACCUAUGCACUGGCUCUUGGAUGGUGACAUAUGCUCCUUGAGGGUGGUUACUACAAUGUAAGCAGAACAACCGGUAACUCAGAGGCAAGCUCAUCUGGGUUGUUGCAUUGUGGAAAGAUAUUACUGCACAGAUAAGGAACAUGGAUGUAAAAGUACAUCACAUAUAUGUCCACAAACCCGACAGUCAUUUCACGGAGAAACAUCGAAACAACAAGCAGAUGGCCAUUAGGAUCGAAGUGGCUCAGGAUGGUUAGAGAAUGUAAUAAUCCAAUUGACUCCUGAGAUUCACGAACAACAUAUCCCCAGGACACAAUUCACCCUCUGCCCCAAAAUGAUGGAUCUCAGCUGAAAGAUUUCUGGGAUGUCCACCAAUGAAAAUCAAAGUUCUUCUUCAGAAAUAGGCACAAAUCUUUCUUUGUCUCCUGGUCGUAUUCGCUAUGACUCUAUUUUCU